CUGCAGUGAUGUGAAUCUUUGACUGAAGUAGCCUUGAUGUGCAAUUUACAUGAGCUUUUUAACCCUGAGCAUU
ensembl:snoRNA SNORD36 Small nucleolar RNA SNORD36